UACGUAGGGGACGAGCGUUGUCCGGAAUUACUGGGCGUAAAGGGCGCGCAGGCUGUAGAUCAAGUCAGCUGUGAAAUGUCUGGGCUUAACCCGGGCAUGCGGUUGAAACUGAUGCACUGGAGUGCUGUAGAGGCAAGUGGAAUUCCCAGUGUAGCGGUGAAAUGCGUAGAUAUUGGGAAGAACACCGGUGGCGAAGGCGACUUGCUGGGCAGCAACUGACGCUGAGGCGCGAAAGCCAGGGGAGCAAACGGGAUUAGAUA
rnacentral:rRNA from 1 species